rnacentral:rRNA from 1 species
AAUAUUGGACAAUGGGGGGAAACCUGAUCCAGCCAUGCCGCGUGUGUGAAGAAGGUAUCCGGAUUGUAAAGCACCUUAAGUUGGGAGGAAGAGUUGUAGGCUAAUACCUUGCAAUUUUGACGUUACCCACAGAAUAAGCACCGGCUAACUUCGUGCCAGCAGCCGCGGUAAUACGAAGGGUGCAAGCGUAAAUCGGAAUUAACGGGCGUAAAGCGCGCGUAGGUGGUUCGUUAAGUUGGAAGUGAAAGCCCCGGGCUUAACCUGGGAAUUGCUUUCAAAACUGACGAGCUAGAGUACGGUAGAGGGUAGUGGAAUUUCCUGUGUAGCGGUGAAAUGCGUAGAUAUAGGAAGGAACAUCAGUGGCGAAGGCGACUACCUGGACUGAUACUGACACUGAGGUGCGAAAGCGUGGGGAGCAAACAGG